AAAAUGCUUGUGAAAUUUUUUCACACUGCACACAGUUUUACUUUGCAGCCUGCGCCAUUCCAUUAAUAGUGAAAAAAUCUUGUGAUGGCAAAGAUAUUGGGUGUUCAAUAGACUGUUCACUAAAGACCCCAGCUAUAUCAACAGCAGAAGCGGCUACAUAAACUGAGUAUUUAUUAUACAAAGCGUACACGAAAGUGGUAGCAAAAAGAAGACGAAAGACGACAGGUCAGUGUGAUUUUCGAACAAGAAAAAGGAAGAGUAGUCUCCUGCUAACGCAGUGAUCAAAAAGCGUUUGGUAAGAGGAGCAAUUGGAAGUCAUAAAGCAACCGUUGGUGUGCUUAACAACUUAGGUCUUGAGCAUAUCUUCAAACUACACAAUAUCAACCAGCGGACCGGACCAAUUCAUUCAUCAAUCAUCCAAAAUUGGUUAUAUGCACAGACCACCCAAAAAACUAUUUUUCGCUUGAAAUCCCUGAGCGCGGAAUCCGGAAGAAGUACAGCAACAGCGUCUAACCAGCUGCUGCAAUUACGCAACUGCAACCAACUCAACCACCACAAAUUUAGUUGGUUGGAAAAAUACCAAUGUGUGAACAAUAAUUACGAUUCUACAACUCUAUAUACACAUAUAACUGAAUAGUAUUGAAUAAUUUAUUAACGUAGAAAAAAAAUACUAAUCAGGAAGCGGUGAUCGAUCGCACGUGAAAAGAGAAGCAAAGUGCAAAAGACGAAGGAGCGAAGGAAUUUAUUGUGCGACGCUGAAAGGAGCACUCAAAAAGCAAAUUUAAACCAGUUUUAAAUAAAAAAAAA